AGCAAACUUAUUGAAAAAUAAGGACGCAAAGCUAUGGGUCUAAGGAUAUUAAUUAUCAAUGAUUGCCAGGUUGCA
rnacentral:ncRNA from 1 species